UACGUAGGGGGGCGAGCGUUAUCCGGAUUUACUGGGCGUAAAGCGCGUUAAGGCGGUUGGCAAAGUUGGUUGUGAAAUCUCAGGGCUCAACCCUGAAAUUGCGACCAAUACUGGUCGACUAGAGUGCAAGAGAGGAAGGUGGAAUUCCCGGUGUAGUAGUGAAAUGCGUAGAUAUCGGGAGGAACACCAGUGGCGGAAGGCGGCCUUCUGGCUUGUAACUGACGCUGUAGCGCGAAAGCGUGGGGAGCGAACCGGG
rnacentral:rRNA from 1 species